rnacentral:rRNA from 1 species
AUGAACGCUUUCUUCUUUCCUCAUACAUUCAAGUCGAGCGAACAGACGAGGAGCUUGCUCCUUCGACGUUAGCGGCGGACGGGUGAGUAACACGUAGGUAACCUACCUAUAAGACUGGGAUAACUUCGGGAAACCGGAGCUAAUACCGGAUAAUAUUUCGAACCGCAUGGUUCGAUAGUGAAAGAUGGCUUUGCUAUCACUUAUAGAUGGACCUGCGCCGUAUUAGCUAGUUGGUAAGGUAACGGCUUACCAAGGCAACGAUACGUAGCCGACCUGAGAGGGUGAUCGGCCACACUGGAACUGAGACACGGUCCAGACUCCUACGGGAGGCAGCAGUAGGGAAUCUUCCGCAAUGGGCGAAAGCCUGACGGAGCAACGCCGCGUGAGUGAUGAAGGUCUUCGGAUCGUAAAACUCUGUUAUUAGGGAAGAACAAACGUGUAAGUAACUGUGCACGUCUUGACGGUACCUAAUCAGAAAGCCAAGGCUAACUACGUG